rnacentral:rRNA from 1 species
CAGCACCUCAAGUGGUCAGGAUGAUUAUUGGGCCUAGAGCAUCCGUAGCCGGCGCUGUAAGUUUUCGGUUAAAUCUGUACGCUCAACGUACAGGCUGCCGGGAAUACUGCAGCGCUAGGGAGUGGGAGAGGUAGACGGUACUCGGUAGGAAGGGGUAAAAUCCUUUGAUCUAUUGAUGACCACCUGUGGCGAAGGCGGUCUACCAGAACACGUCCGACGGUGAGGGAUGAAAGCUGGGGGAGCAAACCGGAUUAGAUACCCGCGUAGUCC